rnacentral:lncRNA from 1 species
CAUUCAUUCAAGCCGACCUUUGUUCCCCUUUGAAAUCCCUUCAAGCUUUUGGAUGUUCUUGGUGGUAACAGCAUUAGAUUUUGGGAUAUCUUUCUCGGAUUCAACCUUGCAUUUAAUGGUUUUUAGACAUUAACAAAACGGAUUCUUUAAAAGGAAAGAAAUUAAGUCUACCUAAUUCUGCUAGGCACUCGUGCUCCCUGUGUCAACCGUACUUUUAUAACUAUGGUAAUGAAGUCAAUAGAUAGCAAACUAAUUAUUCCUUCCCCCUUGUAAAAUUGAGAAAACUUGCUAACAAGGAACUGAAACUGUUAUCUUGAACAUAGUCCCCAGUCUAGUUUUUGCCAUGACUAUAAUGAUUAUAGUCAUGUGUUUAAUUUCAAUUUCCUUGUGUUUAAUUUCAAAAGAAUUCUCAGAUCCCACAGUAUAGAGGUUGUAAAUUUAUGUUACUUUUAUGCUUGAGAAAAGGAUAUUGGGGUGUUUAUACCAUUCUAUGUCACAUGUAAUCAUGUAUGGUAAAGGCAUCUGAGUUCCUUUUGAGUUAUAUAUAGGAACUGCAAGUAUUUGAGUUGAAUCCUCUUAUACAUGCUGACAGACUAAGAGCCUAUGUUUUGCAAAAUCUGUCACCCAAAUUAAUAAAAUGAAAAUAUUAACAUUGACUUUGAUAACAGUCUCCCAAGCAUUCAAACUGUACUUUAAAUAUUCAAACACACUGAUUAUAGCAAGCAAGUCUUUGACUUUAUUUUUAGCAAGUUUGGCUUACUCUUCUUUCAUGAGAUUUUUUUUCUUCCAUAGUAAUUAAUACUACAUAAAAAAUUGAAACUGGAACUAUAUUAUACUUUUUAACUAAUCUCUUGUGGCUGUACUCAUAUGUAAUUUACUUAGGUUAAUAUGAGAACCGGGGAGUAAGUUAUAACUAAUGUGCAAGACCGCUUUGUAUAUUUGGUGAUUUUGUAAUGUUAGUGAAUUGGUUAAUUCUUAUUUCACUGAUACUAUUAAUCGUGUAUAUGCAAUUAAAAAUUACGCUACAUUUCUCUUUAGAAUUAAAUUUGAAGAACCUGACUUUAUGUAAUGGUGGUAUACAUGUGGAGUGGAGAACUUAUUUUUUCAUUAUGUCAAAAUAAGUAUUCCUGAUAAGGCUUCAGGAAAUAUGCUGUUAGGAGAUUUUUAAUGUAUAAUAAAGUCCAUGAUUUUUUAUAGUCUUUUUUGUAUGAAAUAUCUGGUAUAUACUCUGAAUUUUAUUGCUCCGAGUAAUUUCAAAUGAUGCUUAUAAAACAAAUGGACUUUUUCUUAAUCUUUUAAGAUACUACUACACAUCUAACUCUAUUGCAAUCCCAUAACAACUAAAAUGGGGGAAAAAAUGUCACUCAUGGGGAAAUAGUAUCAAAUCUAGUGACUUUUUUCCUUUUAGAAAAAUUAAGGGACUUUUCAGUAAUUACCGUAGACAUGUUACAGUGUAUACUUGCUGUGCUUGGUCCUGUUCAAAGGAAUCCUGUAAAGGACCAGGUUAUUGUGUAUGCCAGCUUAUGUGGGUUGGGCCUGUAGUUGUAAUACUAAUGAAAAUACAUCCGCUGUGCUCUCUGUGGUUCCCUAUAACAUUCACCAAGUUCUGUUCUACUGGCAGUUUCUGUUUUAAUUUGUUUUUAAUUUUAUGAAAUGUAUACAUUCGUAGGAGGUCCAGGGAGUAGAUGAAAUUAACUUUAGAAUUAUAUAAUUUAUCUAGAUGCAUGUAUAUCCUAAGUAUAUUUGUAUAUGAACAUACAUAUAAUCUAGCACUCAUUUAUAAACAGACACCACACUUUGAUU